UACGUAGGGUGCGAGCGUUAAUCGGAAUUACUGGGCGUAAAGGGUGCGUAGGCGGUUGUUUAAGUCUGUCGUGAAAUCCCCGGGCUCAACCUGGGAAUGGCGAUGGAUACUGGACAGCUAGAGUGUGUCAGAGGAUGGUGGAAUUCCACGUGUAGCAGUGAAAUGCGUAGAGAUGUGGAGGAACACCGAUGGCGAAGGCAGCCCCCUGGGUCAAG
rnacentral:rRNA from 1 species